GCUACUCACCGGCGCCAGGCUGGGCUCCGGAGGCUGCUCCAGACCGAGACGACGGUGCGAGACUCGUUCUGUCGACCGCAGAAAACCUCAGUGGAGCGUUUCGUCCCUCCUCUCCCUAGGAAGCCCGGAUCUGCCAUCGACCUAACUGACGCCACUGUGAUUACUGAGAAGCGUGGACAUGGACUUCUCCUGACUUUUGUAUUUCUUCUCAUACGAUUUUUGUUCUUUUCUUCUUAUGUAACAGAAUCCUGUGAGAAAGACGUUACAUGUUCCCUCUAGCAUGUUAUGGCUUCACUUCAUUUAAUGAAUACUUGCCAUUCUUCUCCUGUUUGUCAGUUCUACGGCUCACUGUGCUCCAAGCACCGCACCCAUAUUCUACAACACUGUCCCACUCCAUCCUGCCCACAAGCUACAGGAAGGCCUAUGGUCCCCACUGCACAGCUGAAGACAUAAAGCUCAGAGAGCUCAUCAAUUAUGCAGUUAUCUUAUGCAAUCUUAUUUGUCAUUUGGAAAUGAAACACUGCACAGC